CAGCAGCCGCGGUAAUACGGGAGUGGCAAGCGUUAUCCGGAAUUAUUGGGCGUAAAGCGUCCGCAGGCGGCCCUGAAAGUCUGUCGUUAAAGCGUGGAGCUCAACUCCAUUUAAGCGAUGGAAACUACAGGGCUAGAGUGUGGUAGGGGCAGAGGGAAUUCCCGGUGUAGCGGUGAAAUGCGUAGAUAUCGGGAAGAACACCAGUGGCGAAGGCGCUCUGCUGGGCCAUAACUGACGCUCAUGGACGAAAGCCAGGGGAGCGAAAGGGAUUAGAUACCCCUGUAGUCCUGGCCGUAAACGAUGAACACUAGGUGUCGGGGGAAUCGACCCCCUCGGUGUCGUAGCCAACGCGUUAAGUGUUCCGCCUGGGGAGUACGCACGCAAGUGUGAAACUCAAAUGAAUUGACGG
rnacentral:rRNA from 1 species